rnacentral:rRNA from 1 species
UACAGAGGUGGCAAGCGUUGUUCGGAAUUACUGGGCGUAAAGGGCGCGUAGGCGGCCUUCUAAGUCGGACGUGAAAUCCCCAGGCUUAACUUGGGAACUGCGUCCGAUACUGGAGGGCUUGAGUGCGGGAGAGGGAUGUGGAAUUCCAGGUGUAGCGGUGAAAUGCGUAGAUAUCUGGAGGAACACCGGUGGCGAAGGCGGCAUCCUGGACCGACACCGACGCUGAUGCGCGAAAGCCAGGGGAGCAAACGGG